AAGAACAACUUGUGGCUGGGGUUCGGGAGCCGGGGAGGAGGGGCUGGACCCGGCGUUCUCGCCCACUCUUGCCUUGCAGCAUUUCUGGCCCUCUGUUCUCCAGACCCUCCUGCUACCCGUGUUUGCCCUCCUGAUUGUUCAUGGUGUCUGCUAACAGUGAGAACUGUCCCCUUCCAACCCGGCCGUCCCCCUGAUCGGGCCGCCCCCCACUCCAGCCAGGCGGUACCGCCCCAGGACCAAAGAUGCCCCCCCUCUACCCUAUGCCCGUCCUCUUUGUGAUCCUACAUUUUCUUUACAUCCUCCUCCUCCAUUUCCUACCCUUCCUUCUAUUUCCUGUACUUUUGUUACUUGUCUUCCUGCCUCUUCUGGCCCGAGACUCUGAGGAGGACCCAGGAGCACAGGAGGAGAACUAGUCUGGACCCUCUUUAGAUGCAGCUGUUUCCCAAUGGAUGUUUCUAUGUGGAAAUUUAAAUGUCAUCAUUGUAACCUGCCAAUGGAGAUGAGAUGUUCUGCCAUUGGGAAUGAAUUCAACUGAAUUAAGACCACCUCAGGCAGAGGGGAUUUAGUUUUAAUAGUGGGUUUUUGUUCAAAUGUUAACGAUAUAACAUUGUUUGUUACAUUGUCGUGUUUCCAAAUGUUCUUAUAUGGGAAAAUGUGGUCAAAUUUUUAUAGGCUAUGUUGUUAGAAAAGCAAUCUAGAUGUUGUUAGAUUAAGAAAUGGACUGUAACAAUGUGCUUGAUGUUCUAAAGUACUCUGAUUGAAGAACUAAUACACUUGCACUUAUGCUUAUGAAUAAAGAGAAAUUUUACCUGUAGUUGUUUGCCUCUUGCUUACAAAAAUUUGAGACUGUUAACCAAGUUAUUUGGAGACACUGUUAUAAUGUUAAGGCCUAUGAAAAAUUUGCAUGGGUGUUUUUAAAAAGAAAAUUGAUCAUUGUCUAAGGAGUGGGAAAGGAUACAGAAUAAAGAGCUUGUCAAAUACAUUUGUAAACUUUCAAAGACUCUCAAAACCAGCCACUCAUAAGCUCUUUUUUAAAAUAGUAUUUUAUUUUUCCAAAUACAUGCAAAGAUAGUUUUCAACAUUCCCCUUUGUGAAACCUUGUGUUUCUAAUUUCUCUCUCUCUCUUCCCCCUUCCCCUUCCCAAGAUACCAAGCAAACCAAUAUAAGUUAAACAUGUGUGGAUUUUCUAAACAUAUUUCCAUAUUCCUCAUGGUGCAUAAAAACAUGAGUUCAAAAGUGAAAAAAAAAACAGGCAAACAACAACAGAAAGGAGAAAAUACUAUUUUGCCAUCCACAUUGUCCCCAUAGUCCUGUGUCUGGGUACCACUGAGUUAUGUUAGGUUCCCCUCCCACCCCAUUCGGGUCUCCUUGACUGUAGGGGGUGUUAUCCUAGGCUCCCCCCACUGGUGUCUGUGUGACCAGGGAUGUGAUAUCCAAGGCCCCUGUGGGUGACUCUCCUACAUGCCUCACUCGGCCCCUCUGGCCCCAGAUUUUGUAGAACACGACAAAUGCUCCCUCUGACAAGUGGGGUGCAGGAGCCUGCCUGCCAAAUCAGGAGCCAGACCUCUGACCUGCGUCUUCGGAACGGCAACGGCCAAGCCUUCUAUUCAAGUCCCAGCCCAGGCUGGGGUUUCCAGCCUGACCUUUGCUCCCCUGCAGGGUCGCCGAGGCUCAGUCCCCAGCCUGGAAGCUCUCUACCCCACGAGUUUCCCUGCCUCCCCCUGGGAUUCAUGCUCUAACGCCCUCCUGGCCGGCAUUCUCUAACACCCGAGCCUUUGGCAUUGACGUGCCCCUGUGCCCCUGGCCACAGCAAUGCUCUUCCUACUGGCUCCAGCCCCGAGCCUCUGGGGAGGCCUUGGCACGCUUGUUCGCAUCAUGCCCUCCCCAUUUGCCAGGAACUGAUGAGGUAAAAGAAGUCAUAAAGGCCGGCCGUCACGCGGAAAGAACUCACAGGCUCAGGCACCGCAGAUUCAAGGGGCAAGACGUUUUAUUAUGAUGCCAUAAAUCAGGCACAGUGCCCUAGUGGGACUCACAUUUAGUAAGGAGGAAGUUGGGACCUUUUGUGAGAAAAGACUCAACGCUGGGGUACACUGAAGAUCGGGGGUGCUGGGCAAUGGUUUCUGGUAGCUUCUCUGAAAGAAGUCAGGCUCAAACCACCUCAAAUCAAGGAAAGACACUGAUUUGGCCAUUUGCUUAAGUAAAGGGUAAACCACACUGGGAACCUCCUCUUUAAGGGAGUGGGGACACCCAGCAGAGUGAUGUGAGGGUUUAUUCAGAGAAGGGAAAGGAAGCAAAAAAUAGGAGAAUUUGGCAGCAAGUUGGAUGAGCUCAGUAGAUUUUGCACUUCUUUUACAAUCCCAGGUCGGGCAUGCAUGAGCAAGGUCCCUGUGAAAAGGGUAAAAACCCUUUUGUUCCGGAGCAGGGGCAGCGCCUUAUACAUGGCAAAAGCAAAGGGUCCUUUUAUUCCAAUGAAGUCUCUGAGAGAAAGUGGUAGAACUGCUGGGGCUGCGGCAGCAGCAAACACUCCAUGAUUCCCCUCAAAGACCUGUGACCCAAAUCCCUUUGGGGCCAGGAAGGAAUGUCUCAUUUUCCAUAACUGUUUCCAGCUGAUAAGGGGCAUAGACCUGCUCCUGCUUAAAGGCUUAGUCAUGAGUGAGUGGAGCUGGAUGGGAAUUGCAGUCCAGCACCUUCCACAGGUGGGAGGAGCAGCAUCCACAGGUGGGAGGAGCAGCAUCCACAGGUGGGAGGAGCAGCAUCCACAGAUGGGAGGAGCAGCAUCCACAGGUGGGACAGCAGCAUCCACAGGUGGGAGGAGCAGCAUCCACAGGUGGGAGGAGCAGCAUCCACAGGUGGGAGGAGCAGCAUCCACAGGUGGGAGCAGCAGCAUCCACAGGUGGGAGCAGCAGCAUCCACAGGUGGGAUCACACUUCCAGAGGCUGAGGUGCUGACAGAUAGCUGUCCUGUAGGGCCCUCUGAAAUCUGAUUAACACUUGUCUGAAAGACACAAAUCUUAUUAAAAUGCAAGGACUAAAUCAGAAACAAAAUAUUAAUUAGGAAAGCAUCACUAGGGAGGAGAGUAAAUUCCCCAGAAGCUUUUUCCCAAACCCUUGGAAUGUAGCUGCUGAGGAAGGUCAAGUAUCCC